rnacentral:tRNA from 1 species
UCCUGGUGGCUCAGAUGGUAAAGAAUCUGCCUGCUAUGCAGGAGAUCCAGGUUUGAUUCCUGGUUCAGGAA